GACUAGAUUUCAUUGAUGGAUAAUAAGUUGUACGGUCAUGGAACAUUCUUGCUUUGGUUGCGUCUUUGGAGCUUAACUUCAUCGUUAUUUGAAAAGUUUGUUUUUCGUCAUGUAUCACUUUUUAAAGGAGGAUACUUCACCACAGUCAAGACAUUCAAAUGAGUCAGAAUGCUUUUGUAUGAUUUUGCAUUUACAUAAACCCUCGACAUUAGCUUCCGUAUUGGUGGAUAUCCAAUAACAGAUAAGGUACUUUUGGACCAAUCAAGGUAUAGUGCCAGUCUACCAAAUUUUUCUCGCGCCAAGCAAUAAAUAUGUAGUAACGCAGAAUAUGAAAUUAUAUUAUUCUGUAUUACCAUUCGAGUUACAAGGUGAUGAGACCAAUUCAUUUAAAAAUGAACAGCUUUAGAGCUUAUUACAAUGAAAGCACUUCAUUUGAAUCAAUUCUGUUUACAAAUUUUGCAAGAUUAAAUCCCAAAAAUGUGAUAACAAAAGUAAGAUGUAAUGAAUGCAUUGGAUUCCAAACGGUAGUUUCAAACUUAUUGUAUAUUGUAUGUUAAUUCCACAUAACUUGUGUGAACAAAGUUACAGAAUCUUCCUUCGUUUUGUUAAUUUCACCCAAGUUUAACACUAGCCACAUUAAAUGUUUUGUAGUCAUCACAUUCUCUUACAUAUUUUAGACUGAUUAAUUGGCGUCUAUAUUAGGAAAGGGAGUGUUCUUAUAACUCUUAGCACAUAAUAAUUAUAAUAUAGUGCAGGUUUAGCCAACAUAAUAAAUAUUAGCUGAAUUAGGAUAUGUAAUUUUAUCUUAGCUUACUUUUCAGUAACAUAAGUUGUGUUAUUUUAUCUUACCAACUUAACAAAUAUAAAUGAAUGAAUGAAUGAGUCACGUCUCCUUUGAAAUAAUAUUUCUGCAUUACACACUCAACAGGAUCAUUGUAAAACGUUUUCUAUAAAUGGCAAUCGUUACAAGUGACAUGGUUUUAGUAAUCACAUUGACACUAGCACAACUUUUAUCAUAUUUUUGCUUAGAAAUACGAUUGAGGGCACGCUUAGUUUGCUUUUGAGAAUUUAAAGUACAAAGAAAAAGUUAUUUUUACGACUGCGUAAAGCGACUGCCUAGUGUGUUUCAGCCCUAAGAGGUUAAUUGUGUGUAAUUACGUGGGAGUUAAUGACGACACGUGUGAAUCUGCUAUCGUACCAACAGACGCAAAGCUGAAAACGAUUUAUAUUAAAAUCGGCUUUUUCAAACUGCGGUGAAUAAAUCAGACCUAAAAAUAUGUAAACAUUGCAUUAUAUUGUUGACUUACACACAAACCUUUGAAGUUGAAAGUGUGUUAGAUAUCGUUGGAAGAAUGGUGAAAAUGGAUUAAUUGUUAUAGAAAUAUUUGUGUUAAAACAAGAUACAUAGUUUUUGUAACAACAGUUUUUGCCAUUGGUGAUGUUUAAUGACUGAAUUACAAUAGUACACGUUCACAAGUAUUUGUAAUUGUAGUGAACCCUACUGAACCUUCGUCGCCAGUUGAAUGACAAAAUUAAGACGUACGUGUACAACAAAUGAAAUAUUGCAUACGAAAGCUAUAAGUAGAAACAAAAAGUUUUUAACAGGAGCAAAAGGAUGUUAUUGUUUUGGAAACGUGAUAGAAUUGUCGUCAAUGAAAUGUGUAUUGAGCGGUAGAGAUUGGGUUUUUUCGUUUUAUGUGUUUUCCGACAUCUUUUGGUUUCACCUGGAUUUAACUCCAUCGACAGUCUAUACAUGGUAUUUUUGUAAAAGUCUUUGAGUGCGCCGUUAGAGCUGCAGAAAAUAGCACAGAAAAGAUUUAUACGUCGAAGCCAAUUGUGCCAAAGUGAAACCAGGAGAGAUUCAGAAAGUAUAUGGAAAGUUAGACGUUUUCUUUUGUUAGUACAUGGUAAAAACAUUUCCCUGAGAUGUUUAAUGAGUAUAAAGUCGCAGUUUUGCAUAAAAAAGACAGAUUGCCGGAUGCUUAAUCUUUUACAGCACGUCAUGUCUGCAGAUAAAACAGACGAUAAAGACUAACAAUGUUUAUUGACUUAAUUGAAAAUAAUUAACUUGUGAUAAUGAAAGUUGCCAGCGUUAAGGCAACUGUAAAUAGAAUAACGAAUAAAGAUGUAUGCAUGCAUGAUUUAUCUAGAAA